UUGUCAGCAAAAAGACCAUACUUUCUAUAAGUAUACACUUUAGUUUUGCUUUGCUUCUGUUUAAAGUUAAUGUAAAUUUUUUUCUGUACAGCAAUUAGAUUUGGCAAUAUCGUUAAAUGCCUUUUGAAAUGAAAGCAAUAAAGUUUACCAAUUUUUUUAUGACAGUGCUUCCAUUGAAUCAAGGAGGGAAUGGAGUCAAAAUGGACUUUGACUGGAUGAUUGAUCACUUUCUUGAUUGAAGUGUGAGAUUGUUUUGAAAACCUGAGAGACACGAAUAAAAAUUUUACUUGAAGAAGCACAUGACUGGAAACUUUCCACUCCAUGCAAGCCAAUACCGCAGAAGAUGUUGGAGUUCCAUUGGGUCUGCAGCACUUACAAAUGGCUCAUCUGCAAGGUUGAAUUUUGAUACCUGUUAUACAAAGUUAAUUUCAGGAAUU